CUGCUCGCUUCGGCAGCACAUGUACUAAAAUUGGAACGAUCCAGAGAAGAUUGGCAUGGCCCCUGUGCCAGGAUGACAUGCAAAUUAGUGAAGCGUUCCAUAUAUAC
rfam:Canis lupus familiaris chromosome 6, whole genome shotgun sequence.